GACAGAGGAUGCAAGCGUUAUCCGGAAUGAUUGGGCGUAAAGCGCGCGUAGGUGGCUUCGUAAGUCCGUUGUGAAAGUCAAAGGCUCAACCCUUUGAAAGCCGAUGGAUACUGUGGAGCUAGAGUACGGAAGAGGCGAGUGGAAUUCCUGGUGUAGCGGUGGAAUGCGCAGAUAUCAGGAGGAACACCAAUAGCGAAGGCAGCUCGCUGGGACGUUACUGACACUGAGGCGCGAAAGCGUGGGGAGCGAACAGG
rnacentral:rRNA from 1 species